GGUUAAGUCCCGCAACGAGCGCAACCCUUAUCCUUUGUUGCCAGCGGUCCGGCCGGGAACUCAAAGGAGACUGCCAGUGAUAAACUGGAGGAAGGUGGGGAUGACGUCAAGUCAUCAUGGCCCUUACGACCAGGGCUACACACGUGCUACAAUGGCGCAUACAAAGAGAAGCGACCUCGCGAGAGCAAGCGGACCUCAUAAAGUGCGUCGUAGUCCGGAUUGGAGUCUGCAACUCGACUCCAUGAAGUCGGAAUCGCUAGUAAUCGUGGAUCAGAAUGCCACGGUGAAUACGUUCCCGGGCCUUGUACACACCGCCCGUCACACCAUGGGAGUGGGUUGCAAAAGAAGUAGGUAGCUUAACCUUCGGGAGGGCGCUUACCACUUUGUGAUUCAUGACUGGGGUGAAGUCGUAACAAGGUAACCGUAGGGGAACCUGCGGUUGGA
rnacentral:rRNA from 1 species